rnacentral:rRNA from 1 species
CCUGGCUCAGGAUGAACGCUAGCUACAGGCUUAACACAUGCAAGUCGAGGGGCAGCAUGGUCUUAGCUUGCUAAGGCCGAUGGCGACCGGCGCACGGGUGAGUAACGCGUAUCCAACCUGCCUUACACUCUUGGACAGCCUUCUGAAAGGGAGAUUAAUACAAGAUGUUAUCAUGAGUAAGCAUUUUCGCAUGAUUAAAGGUUUACCGGUGUAAGAUGGGGAUGCGUUCCAUUAGAUAGUAGGCGGGGUAACGGCCCACCUAGUCUUCGAUGGAUAGGGGUUCUGAGAGGAAGGUCCCCCACAUUGGAACUGAGACACGGUCCAAACUCCUACGGGAGGCAGCAGUGAGGAAUAUUGGUCAAUGGACGAGAGUCUGAACCAGCCAAGUAGCGUGAAGGAUGAAGGUUCUAUGGAUUGUAAACUUCUUUUAUACGGGAAUAAACGAAUCCACGUGUGGAUUUUUGCAUGUACCGUAUGAAUAAGGAUCGGCUAACUCCGUGCCAGCAGCCGCGGUAAUACGGAGGAUCCGAGCGUUAUCCGGAUUUAUUGGGUUUAAAGGGAGCGUAGAUGGGUUGUUAAGUCAGUUGUGAAAGUUUGCGGCUCAACCGUAAAAUUGCAAUUGAUACUGGCAGUCUUGAGUACAGUUGAGGUAGGCGGAAUUCGUGGUGUAGCGGUGAAAUGCUUAGAUAUCACGAAGAACUCCGAUUGCGAAGGCAGCUUACUAACCUGUAACUGACAUUGAUGCUCGAAAGUGUGGGUAUCAAACAGGAUUAGAUACCCUGGUAGUCCACACGGUAAACGAUGAAUACUCGCUGUAGGCGAUAUACAGUCUGCGGCCAAGCGAAAGCAUUAAGUAUUCCACCUGGGGAGUACGCCGGCAACGGUGAAACUCAAAGGAAUUGACGGGGGCCCGCACAAGCGGAGGAACAUGUGGUUUAAUUCGAUGAUACGCGAGGAACCUUACCCGGGCUUAAAUUGCAACCGAAUAUGGCGGAAACGCUAUAGCUAGCAAUAGCGGUUGUGAAGGUGCUGCAUGGUUGUCGUCAGCUCGUGCCGUGAGGUGUCGGCUUAAGUGCCAUAACGAGCGCAACCCUUGCCGAUAGUUACUAACAGGUUAUGCUGAGGACUCUGUCGGGACUGCCAUCGUAAGAUGUGAGGAAGGUGGGGAUGACGUCAAAUCAGCACGGCCCUUACGUCCGGGGCUACACACGUGUUACAAUGGGGGGUACAGAGGGCUGCUACCACGCAAGUGGAUGCCAAUCCCAAAAACCUCUCUCAGUUCGGAUUGAAGUCUGCAACCCGACUUCAUGAAGCUGGAUUCGCUAGUAAUCGCGCAUCAGCCACGGCGCGGUGAAUACGUUCCAGGGCCUUGUACACACCGCCCG